CCGCCCUUAGCUCAGUUGGAUAGAGCACUCGCCUUCUAAGCGAGCGGCCACAGGUUCGAAUCCUGUAGGGCGGG
rnacentral:tRNA from 1 species